rnacentral:rRNA from 1 species
GAUGAACGCUGGCGGCGUGCCUAAUACAUGCAAGUCGAGCGAACAGACGAGGAGCUUGCUCCUCUGACGUUAGCGGCGGACGGGUGAGUAACACGUGGAUAACCUACCUAUAAGACUGGGAUAACUUCGGGAAACCGGAGCUAAUACCGGAUAAUAUAUUGAACCGCAGGGUUCAAUAGUGAAAGACGGUUUUGCUGUCACUUAUAGAUGGAUCCGCGCCGCAUUAGCUAGUUGGUAAGGUAACGGCUUACCAAGGCAACGAUGCGUAGCCGACCUGAGAGGGUGGUAGGCCACACUGGAGCUGAGACACGGUCCAGACGCCUACGGGAGGCAGCAGUAGGGAAUCUUACGCAAUGGGCGAAAGCCUGACGGAGCAACGCCGCGUGAGUGAUGAAGGUCUUCGGAUCGGAAAACUCUGUUAUUAGGGAAGAACAAAUGUGUAAGUAACUAUGCACGUCUUGACGGUACCUAAUCAGAAAGCCACGGCUAACUACGUG